AUUGAACGCUGGCGGCAUGCCUUACACAUGCAAGUCGAACGGUAACGCGGGGCAACCUGGCGACGAGUGGCGAACGGGUGAGUAAUGCAUCAGAACGUGCCCAGUAGUGGGGGGAUAGCCCGGCGAAAGCCGGAUUAAUACCGCAUACGACCUACGGGUGAAAGCGGGGGACUCGCAAGAGCCUCGCGCUAUUGGAGCGGCCGAUGUCAGAUUAGGUAGUUGGUGGGGGUAAAAAGCCUACCAAGCCGACGAUCUGUAGCUGGUCUGAGAGGACGACCAGCCACACUGGGACUGAGACACGGCCCAGACUCCUACGGGAGGCAGCAGUGGGGAAUUUUGGACAAUGGGCGCAAGCCUGAUCCAGCCAUGCCGCGUGCGGGAAGAAGGCCUUCGGGUUGUAACCGC
rnacentral:rRNA from 1 species